GGCAGUGCUUGGGUGUCGGGGCUCUGAGGCUCCGGCCUGACCUCUUCACGGGGUCGACGGGAUCGUCUCCGGAUGCCAGGAGUCCCAAAGGGCCGACCAGGAUGAGGAAACCCCAGGCGGAGUCCGGGGGAAGCAGCACGGCAUCCCAGCCUCAGGCCUGCCCGGACGGUGAUGGUUGGGGUAAGAUUGGGGAAGAUGCCAGGUGAUAGAAUCCACCCUGCCUCUGACAGCAUCCAAUCUGGAGCAAAGGCUUCUUUCAACCUUCCCCCAAGCUCCCAAUACAAGCCCAAAUUCUGGAACAAGUCCUUUCCAACACCUCCUUCAGAGAAGCUCCCUGGCUCCAGGCAGUGCUUGCUCCCCUCACUGCAGCAGGAAGCCUAACUUGCGAACUGCAGGUGUGCUCCAGGUGGUCACUGGAUGCAAGAAAUGGUGCGAGAACUUUGGAUGUGGAACGUGGAGGAGGAGGAACACGAAGUGGGGAUCUGCACUUGGGGUGGUCAGCACUGCGGAUGCCCAGCAAAGUCACUGCCUGGUCCACAUCCCGGAGGGGUCUCUGCGCCUCAGUCGGCAUCGCAGCUGAUGGUGAAACUUUUGGUGUGGCAGAAGAGUGUCCACAAACUUCGGAAGGGCCGCGGCGGCAAGGUCCUUGCUCCCAUGGCGUGACUCCAGGGUGCAGGAGCCUGGGCUGAGCAGGUGGAGUAGGGUGAGCUCCGCCAAGAACCCAGCGAGAGUGGCGCCCCAGGGCGGCACAGGAGGCCGCAUUUAACAUGUCAAUCAUCUGAAAGAUUUUAUGGCAUCUUUUUUUUGACAUCUUAUAAUAUCUAUAAUGUUUAUUAUAUCUUGUGAUAUAAUUAUUAACACCA
ensembl:lncRNA FAM182B family with sequence similarity 182 member B